GAUGAACGCUGGCGGCGUGCCUAAUACAUGCAAGUCGAGCGAAUGGAUUAAGAGCUUGCUCUUAUGAAGUUAGCGGCGGACGGGUGAGUAACACGUGGGUAACCUGCCCAUAAGACUGGGAUAACUCCGGGAAACCGGGGCUAAUACCGGAUAACAUUUUGAACCGCAUGGUUCGAAAUUGAAAGGCGGCUUCGGCUGUCACUUAUGGAUGGACCCGCGUCGCAUUAGCUAGUUGGUGAGGUAACGGCUCACCAAGGCAACGAUGCGUCGCCGACCUGAGAGGGUGAUCGGCCACACUGGGACUGAGACACGGCCCAGACUCCUACGGGAGGCAGCAGUAGGGAAUCUUCCGCAAUGGACGAAAGUCUGACGGAGCAACGCCGCGUGAGUGAUGAAGGCUUUCGGGUCGUAAAACUCUGUUGUUAGGGAAGGACAAGUGCUAGUUGAAUAAGCUGGCACCUUGACGGUACCUAACCAGAAAGCCACGGCUAACUACGUGCCAGCCGCCGCCGUAA
rnacentral:rRNA from 1 species